GUGCUUGCUUUGGCAACAUAUAUGAUAAAAUUGGAACAAGACAAAGAAAAUUAGCAUGGCCGCUGCAUAAGGGUGACACACAAACUUAUGAAGUGUUCCAUAUUUUC